UACGUAGGUGGCAAGCAUUGUCCGGAAUUAUUGGGCGUAAAGCGCGCGCAGGUGGUUUCUUAAGUCUGAUGUGAAAGCCCACGGCUCAACCGUGGAGGGUCAUUGGAAACUGGGGAACUUGAGUGCAGAAGAGGAAAGUGGAAUUCCAAGUGUAGCGGUGAAAUGCGUAGAGAUUUGGAGGAACACCAGUGGCGAAGGCGACUUUCUGGUCUGUAACUGACACUGAGGCGCGAAAGCGUGGGGAGCGAACAGG
rnacentral:rRNA from 1 species